GCGGUGGUGGUGGAAUUGGUAGACACGCUACCUUGAGGUGGUAGUGCCUUCGGGCGUGGGGGGUUCAAGUCCCCCCUUCCGCACCA
rnacentral:tRNA from 1 species